UACAACUUUCAGCAACGGAUCUCUUGGCUCUCGCAUCGGAUGAAGAACGCAGCGAAUUGCGGAUAAGUAAUGUGAAUUGCAGAUUUUCAGUGAAUCAUCGAAUCUUUGAACGCACCUGCG
rnacentral:rRNA from 1 species